rnacentral:rRNA from 1 species
UACGUAGGGCGCAAGCGUUAUCCGGAAUUAUUGGGCGUAAAGAGCUCGUAGGCGGUUUGUCGCGUCUGCCGUGAAAGUCCGGGGCUCAACUCCGGAUCUGCGGUGGGUACGGGCAGACUAGAGUGAUGUAGGGGAGACUGGAAUUCCUGGUGUAGCGGUGAAAUGCGCAGAUAUCAGGAGGAACACCGAUGGCGAAGGCAGGUCUCUGGGCAUUAACUGACGCUGAGGAGCGAAAAGCAUGGGGGAGCGAACAGG